rnacentral:rRNA from 1 species
UACAGAGGUCCCGAGCGUUGUUCGGAUUCACUGGGCGUAAAGGGUGCGCAGGUGGCUUGGCAAGUCGGAUGUGAAAGCUCCGGGCUUAACCCGGAAAUGGCAUUGGAAACUGCUUGGCUGGAGGUUUGGAGGGGGGACUGGAAUUCUCGGUGUAGCAGUGAAAUGCGUAGAGAUCGAGAGGAACACCAGUGGCGAAGGCGAGUCCCUGGACAACACCUGACACUGAGGCACGAAAGCCGGGGGAGCAAACAGG